rnacentral:rRNA from 1 species
CCUACGGGUGGCAGCAGUGAGGAAUAUUGGUCAAUGGACGCAAGUCUGAACCAGCCAUGCCGCGUGCAGGAUGACGGCUCUAUGAGUUGUAAACUGCUUUUGUACGAGGGUAAACCCCGAUACGUGUAUCUGGCUGAAAGUAUCGUACGAAUAAGGAUCGGCUAACUCCGUGCCAGCAGCCGCGGUAAUACGGAGGAUUCGAGCGUUAUCCGGAUUUAUUGGGUUUAAAGGGUGCGUAGGCGGUAUGAUAAGUUAGAGGUGAAAUGUCGGGGCGCAACCCCGAAACUGCCUCUAAUACUGGUGGACUAGAGAGUAGGUGCGGUAGGCGGAAUGUAUGGUGUAGCGGUGAAAUGCUUAGAGAUCAGACAGAACACCGAUUGCGAAGGCAGCUUACCAAACUAUAUCUGACGUUGAGGCACGAAAGCGUGGGGAGCAAACAGGAUUAGAUACCCGAGUAGUC